AUUCAUUGAUAUAGUUGAUCUUUCAGAGCACUUAAAAAUUUUAUAAGACAUAGAUAUAGAUAGAUAUAUUUGUCAUACAGUACAUACGGUUCAAGGACGAAGAUCUGAAAGACUGAAUCUUAACGAGUGUAACGCCUUUUAUGCCCUAUAUAUACAUAAAAAUGGUUAUAUACACAAGGGUUCGUACAAUAAUUAAAAAUAUCCAUAUGUACAUACAUAUAUUUGUAUAUAUUUUAUAAGCAAUAACGAAUUUAAUAUAGUAACUUAGUUUGUACAUUUUUUUUUUAAAGGUUGCAUAUGCAAUAUUUGUUUAAUAUCACAUUAUAGACCUCCAUGGUUUUAAUUUAUUUUUGGAAUGA